UACGUCAUACAACAUCUGUGUAUAAUAUCACAAUUUACAUGCGCUCUAUAAACUGCUCAUUGGCAUUGCGCAAAAUAUCCUUCAAGACUUAUUCUUAUUCAAUAUCAAAUUAUGAUUAUUUUCCGUAAACCUGAUGGCGAAUAUGAACAUUAAAGGGAGUAAACGUAAAGGCAGAGAAAACAAAAUAUCGUUUGAAAACCUUAAGUUAAAGGACGUUAUGUUUGAAGCGUUACAAGACAGGUAUACCGUUAGU
rnacentral:lncRNA from 1 species